rnacentral:rRNA from 1 species
GAUGAACGCUGGCGGCGUGCUUAACACAUGCAAGUCGAACGGAAAGGCUCCUGCUUGCAGGGGUACUCGAGUGGCGAACGGGUGAGUAACACGUGGGUGAUCUGCCCAGCACUUCGGGAUAAGCCUGGGAAACUGGGUCUAAUACCGGAUAGGACGAUGGUUUGGAUGCCAUUGUGGAAAGUUUUUUCGGUGUGGGAUGAGCUCGCGGCCUAUCAGCUUGUUGGUGGGGUAAUGGCCUACCAAGGCGUCGACGGGUAGCCGGCCUGAGAGGGUGUACGGCCACAUUGGGACGAGGAAACGGCCCAGCCCCCCACGGGGGGCAGCGGGGGGGAAUAUGGCACAAGGGGCGAAAGCCUGAUGCGGGGACGCCGGGGGGGGGAGGACGGCCUUCGGGUUGGAAACUCCUUUCGCUGGGGACGAAGCGCAAGUGCCGGUACCUGGGGAAGAAGCACCGGCUACCUACGU